rnacentral:lncRNA from 1 species
GACACCUCAGUGAUCCCUCCACCCAGAAUUUCCUUUUAAAGUAGCACAUACAACAAGCACAGUACCAUAUCUCCCAUGAGUCAUCAUUUUCCCUUUUAUGGGACUGCCUUAAUUUCACUGUUUAAAAAACAAUUGUGUGAGACUUUAUUUUGCUUUGAAGUCCAAAAACAAACUCUUAAUGGCGACGGGUAUGUGUAUGAGACUCACAUGCAGCCUUGUCUGGAACAUAGCCUUUAACUUCCCAAGUGCUGGGACUGAGGGCAUGCACAACACUACCUAAUGGGUUUGCUAGCUUUUCUAGCCAAAAGCCAAGUAUUUAGAAUGACUGUUGAUACACUUUACAAGAUGUUAAGAGCUCACAUUUUUUAGCCAUUGACUUACCUGUAUAUAUUGCUUUAUUGGCGUAAGCAAAUGAAGUUAACUCUGGUUGUUUUAAAUCAAUUUCCCAUUACUCUUAAACCACAGUACCUUAACCACUGCUACCCAUUCACAAUUGGAAUAAAAAUCAGUGUUUUGGUGUUCUGCAAAAGUGGUAACUCAAAACACUAUCUGGUUAAAAUCCAUGGUUUCAAAAUGCCACCAUUAGUGUUCAGCAUCAAGUUGUAGCAGUGCACAAUUCAUAGUAAGGUAUAUUUUAUUAGACAGUAAAUAAUGCCUAUUAAUGCUUUUUUCUCCUAUUAGUAUUGAAUGAGAACUAAAUGUAUAGUUCUGUGCAAAACUAGUCUAGCAUUUAUAGUGUCGAUCUUGUAGACAACUGAUGUUGAUAGAACAAGAUUCACACUUAUGUGUAAGCAUUACACCAAGUAAUUUGGAUACAAAAGUAUUUAUUUUAUAAAACUUGUAUUUAAAAUAGAGCUCUUAUCUGUCUACUCACAAAUCCUAAAACAAUACAUUAUCCUUUGCUAAUUUGAUGUUACCCUUUACAAUCAGCAUUUUUGUAAUUUUAUUAAGAACCUGUACUAAAUGAAGUUUUAAAUCAGAAAACAUUCCCUUUUCUUAAAAGUGCUUCUUAAAUGAAGGCACCAACAAGAACUACUUUCAGAUGGUACAGAAUUUCUUAUUUCUUGAAGACUCUGUGGUUGACCACUUCUUCAUUAGUUACCUGCAGCAAGACACCUUCCUGCCAAAGGAAAAAAAAAGUAUCUGAAGAAGUUUAUCAUGUUUGUCCACAGAACCUAAGUAACUUCAGUGGUGGGUUUAGGAUUAAAGCAGACUCACUGAUGUGUAUAAUAAGCGCUCAAUAUCACAUUUCUGAAAAGGCAAUAAAGCCUAGAAAUCAAGAGGGCUGUUUCAGGAAAUUUCAAUAGCCAACCUACAACAUUUUAGGGCAGGACAAUGGGCAAAAAAUUACCACAUUUUACCCCAACUAUUUAGUACAGGGUACAUAGAGGGUUUUGCUGCUGCUGUUGCACAGAAACUUCUACUGUAAGAAAACACUGUCAGACUCAUCCCUGAUAAGCAUGUAUAGUUGUUACCACAAUAAACACAAUGCC